rnacentral:misc_RNA from 1 species
UUAUUAUUUGUGUAAAAAGGUGUUUGGAAUAAUAAUCAUAGUGUAGGAGGUGAUAGACGUGCAAAAAAGUACGCGGUUUUAAAUAUCGCAACUUCUCGGCUCGACGUCGGUGACGCAGGUGAAGCUUACUUAUUUUGUAUUGAAUUACAUUUUAAAAACCAAAAAAAGACGAAGUUCUGAAAUAAUUCAUUUUGAGUAAUUUCUCAAUCAAAAGUAACAAAAAUUACAAAUACCUACACUACAAGCGUUGCGCGCCCACGGACUGGCGUAACAUAAUCGUCGACAAGUAACACA